rnacentral:rRNA from 1 species
UACGAAGGGUGCAAAACGUUUGCUCGGAAUUAUUGGGCGUAAAGCGCACGUAGGCGGCUUAGCAAGUUGGAUGUGAAAUCCCUCGGCUCAACCAAGGAAGUGCAUCCAAAACUGCUGAGCUUGAGUACUUAAGAGGAUCGCGGAAUUCCCGGUGUAGAGGUGAAAUUCGUAGAUAUCGGGAGGAACACCAGUGGCGAAGGCGGCGAUCUGGGAAGAUACUGACGCUGAGGUGCGAAAGCGUGGGAGCAAACAGG